UAGUGCUUCUCUUUCAAGGCUUCAGUAUGAGAGCGGUUCCUUUGUGACCACAAGCAUAUCCUCUCCAGACUUUUAGGCCUAUUUAUAGGCAAUUGUGCACAGUGGAUGCUUAGUCACUGCACCAGUCACAGCCCACAAGCGAUGCACAUCCGGUGAGCAAGGCAGGCAGGUAGCGAGAGAAAUAUGGGUCGAAGAACGGCAAGGAGAACUUGCCAUCUAGAAGGUUUUUAGCUUAAGGGGCAUUAAUAUAGUUUAAAAAAUGAGCCCAUCUGACAUGAGAUAUAGGGUGCAGACAGACAGAUCUCAUCGUGCAAGCAUUGCAAAAAGUAGCAGCCCCUGCAGAAAGCAUGCAAAGAAAGACAACCCAGCCGUGAUGACGUCGUCGCAUUAAAUAAACUGCAGCGGCAGACUGAAAAACCAGUAACACCAGCAAAUGAAAACAUUUCUUCUAAAGCUUAUACUAUACAUGUCAACAUCUAGCAUUUCUAAGCAGAAAUCCUGUGUCGGAGAGUGUGUGCAGCGUGUCCAGUACAAACGGACCACCUUGGUAUUUCUGGAGGAAGAAAAUGUUCUUCGUCAGUUAAAAGCCCUGUCUAAUGAAUUACCAAGACAUGAUCUUUACACU